AAGUUUACGCCAAAAAUAGCGUGAACUCAUGUGUUUUGCCCAUAGUCACCACGCUGGGCAUGCGGGUUGGUGACCGCAUACUGGCUUUGUCGCACCGAAGACGCUGCUGCCCGUCUUCGGCCUGUGUAUUUCAAAGCAGUUGGAUGGUGAUCCCGCCACCGGUUGGCUUUUUAAGUUCCAAGGUGGUAGCGGAACUGUGUUAUCCCUUAGUCGCCUCUUACGACACCCACGGGAAGAGAGGGGG
rnacentral:misc_RNA from 1 species